rnacentral:antisense_RNA from 1 species
GCGGCCGCUCCUACCUCCCCUCACCCACUCUGUUCCCACCCCCACUCCGCUCCCACCUCCCGCCCGCCACGGGCCCGUUACCUGCUCGUCGAAGCGGCUGACCACGGCCUGGACCCAUUCCACCGGCCUGUGCGCGGCCAUGUCCUCCCGCGGCCGGGGGGCGGCGGAGGGAAGGGUGGGCCGGCGCCCUGCGCCGGGAAGAGGGCGGGGAGCGGAGGCUGAGAGACAAGGUCUGACUCUGUGCAGUGGAUUGCAGUGGCUCAAUCAUAGCUCACUCCAGCCUCAGACUCCUGGGCUGAAGUGAUCCUCCCACCUCAAACUCCUGAAUAGCUGGGACUACAGCCGGGCAUAGUGGCAAAUGCCUGUGGUUCCAGUUACUUGGGAAGCUGAAGUGGGAGGAUCGCUUGAGCCCAGGAGGUCAAGGCUACAGCGAGCUGUGAUGGUGCCAUUGCAUUCCAGCACUCCAGCCCGGGCAUCGGAGUUAGACCUUG